rnacentral:antisense_RNA from 1 species
UAAGUCAGAGCUAGACUGCAGAACUCUCAGCCCAUCUCUGCAGCAGACAUCUGCGUCAUCCUCCCGGAAAUUCAACUCAGGCCACACUUCUGGCAAAAGAAGUUUCACCCUGACUGUCCUUGUUUUCAGCCAGCUGGGCUCAGUGGGAUCUAAAAACCUAGGACAGAGUGUAGAUCCAGUAGAGGAGCCCAGGCCUCUCCUCCACACACCCCUCACUGGCACCCCUCACCACCUCCCACGCAUUUCCUAUGGUGGUAAAGGAGAAGACAUUCAAGCAGAGAACCCCAAAUCCCCGUGUCUCCUUCCCUUCUUGGCUAUAACUUAGUAGGAUGGUUGAGAGGGAGAAGAAAUUUCAAAUGAGCCAGAUUAAGGAAACAAACAAACAAACAAAACUGAGAAGAAAUCAAGUCCCCAACAGGCACUGAAAUCAAAAUGAUUUGUUGUGGUAACAAGUCAGAGGCGAUCUGAGGACCCGACAUAACCGAAACGUCUUGGAUGCCGGACAGUCUAUAACUGGUACAUGCCAGGGAGACAAGCAAUGACAAAGCUCAAACACUAAAGGUGGGACCAUCACU